ACACUAAAUAACUCUCCUGCUCUCAUUUAUUUUGUUGGUGAAUUUGGCCUUUCAUCCCUUUGACAGAGUGAAGGAGGAGGAAAUAUUGAAUUGAAAGAGGAGAUGGCCACUACUUACAGAAGACUUGAUCCCAAGACUAUGUCUGUGUUCCCUGUGGUUCCAGAAAUUCCCUUUUGAGAAGCACUGGGCGGAUGACUGUCUUCACCCAACUUACUCAUGGACAAGAGGAGAAGGCAAGAGGAGAUUUAGGAAGAAGGCCAUGUGUAGACUGAGGCUAUGAGUAUUGUCCUGCUGCCUCAAACCAGCGAACACUGGGGGCCACCAGAAGCUACCGGAAGCGAGGAAAAGAUCCCUUAGAGCAAGUGCAAGGAGCUUGGCCCUGCAGAAACAUCAACCUCAGACUUCUGGCCUCCAGG